CGUAACCUCUGUCGGAGGGAGACGGGCAUUGGUCUAAUAGGCCUUUGUUUUGACGGUACCUUUAGAGGAAGCACCGGCUAACUCCGUGCCAGCAGCCGCGGUAAUACGGAGGGUGCAAGCGUUAUUCGGAAUUACUGGGCGUAAAGCGCACGUAGGCGGCUUCGUAAGUCAGGGGUUGAAAUCCCACGGCUCAACCGUGGAACUGCCUUUGAAACUGCAAAGCUUGAAUCCUGGAGAGGGUGGCGGAAUUCCUGGUGUAGGAGUGAAAUCCGUAGAUAUCAGGAGGAACACCGGUGGCGAAGGCGGCCACCUGGACAGGUAUUGACGCUGAGGUGCGAAAGUGUGGGGAGCAAACAGGAUUAGAUACCCUGGUAGUCCACACCGUAAACGAUGAUACUAGGU
rnacentral:rRNA from 1 species